rnacentral:rRNA from 1 species
UAAACGGUUGUAUUUUUAAGUUUAAGUUUCUUUUUCAUAGGCUGAAUCUUUAAUUUAAGUAAAAAUACUUAAAUAAGCUAGAGGGACGAUAAGACCCUAAAAUUUUUAUUUUGAUAGGGUGUGACUUAGUAAAGGUCAUUUUUUACAGAUUUAAUAGAUUUGGCUGGGGCAGUGACUUUUUUUAACCGAGAGUGUGCUCGUGCGGCUUGGUUUAAUGACCCUUUAUAUUAAGAUAGGUAGGACCAAUUACUUUAGGGGUAACAGCGUUAUUCACUCGUUGAGACCUUAUCUAUGAGUGAGAUUACGACCUCGAUGUUGAAUUAUAAAUUCUUUGCGCAGAAAAAGGCACGAUAGAGGGUUUGUUCAACCCUUAAAAUUUUACAUGAUUU